CCAAUGCCUCUCCAAAGGCUAUCACGAGGCUAGAUUGCUAACCCUCGUUAGCAAACAAGAAGAGACCAGCCCUGCAGCUAGCUGUCCCAAGUAAACAACGCUCUUGGAGUAAAUUGGAAACUCACACAGCAUGGAAACCACAACCUUCUGGACAGACUGAAAGGAUGAAUCAAACACGAAAACAGUGCCAAACUGUGCCAACUAAAAUGGAUUCAGCCUGGUGAUCAAGUGCUGCUGAAAGAAUAAAGAGAAAUGAGCCCAAGUCAGCAGCUACAGGAGAAAUAGAAAGGGCCCCAUGACAUGCUGCUGACUACCAAUUUGGCAAUGAAACUGGCUGGCAUCAAGCCAUGGAUCCACCACAUGCCCGUGAAGAAGUUCCUGCCGGAGGAAACAUUCAUGACACAGGACACCAAGGCUGCCAAAUGGGAGACAGAACCCCUUGAAGGCCUAGGAUUUCUGUUCAAAAGAUGAUAAAGUAUUGUUUUACAUUGUUACAUUGCUGCUUUACAUUGCUGCUGUUUUACAUUGUUAUUUCUGCGUACCUCUAACCUUUUCCUACAAUGGGCAAAGGUUAUGCAAAUAGCUUACAGCAAGACUCUUGCUGGGUCUGUGCUCUAUUACCCCUCUCUGGCACCAUGGGGCUGCCUUGGUGCAUCCCCCACAUACAAGGAAAAAUUAGGUUUAUAAUAUCUUGAUUUUGUAGAACACCUUCCUGGUGGCAGAAAAUUCUUCUUGUCCUAGCUGCCUUCCUGGGCAUGAGCAUAAUACUAUGUUGUGAACUAUAUUAUUGUUAUAUGCUGUUCCAAAACAUUCCUCAGGCUCACAAGAUCAUGUCUUAUCAGGCGCUGCCUUUGAGUCUCUAAAGCCAGAAACAUUACCAGCACCAGAUAGACAUCUUCCACUCUAGCACCCCUUGAUGACAACCCUCUUCAGCAGGAAGUAGAUGGAGGGAAUGCAUACCCACUUUCCCUUAGUCGGCUAUGUCAUAGUUUACACUUUUGCACUAGCCUUUUAACAAACCAGUACUUGAAAAAAUUAACUAACAUGCUAGAAAUCACGUACAAAUUGACAGUGGGGAUUGUGGCAGGCCAGGUUUCCAUUAGCAACCAGAACAGUCAGUUUUCACUAAUCCUUUACUAUAACUCUGAUGAAUAUAUAAGUUAAACAUUAAAGAACUGGAGAAACUGGUCACUAAGUACAAUGGCUGGAAUGCAAAAACAAACCCAUUAAGACCCCAGACCCUAAUGAUUAGAUACAGAUUGAAAGAAACACUCCUGCUUGUAGGUGCACUCCCACACAUAGGCAGAGAGCUUAAAAUGUGUAUAUGCACUAGAAAAAAUAUUGUAACUGCGUUGGUC
rnacentral:lncRNA from 1 species